rnacentral:rRNA from 1 species
GACCACAGCACCGCAUGGUGCGGGGGUAAAAACUCCCGGUGGUAUGAGAUGGACCCGCGUCUGAUUAGCUAGUUGGUAAGGUAACGGCUUACCAAGGCGACGAUCAGUAGCCGACCUGAGAGGGUGACCGGCCACAUUGGGACUGAGACACGGCCCAAACUCCUACGGGAGGCAGCAGUGGGGAAUAUUGCACAAUGGGGGAAACCCUGAUGCAGCGACGCCGCGUGAGCGAAGAAGUAUUUCGGUAUGUAAAGCUCUAUCAGCAGGGAAGAAAAUGACGGUACCUGACUAAGAAGCACCGGCUAAACACGUGCCAGCAGCCGCGGUAAUACGUAUGGUGCAAGCGUUAUCCGGAUUUACUGGGUGUAAAGGGAGCGUAGACGGAUGGGCAAGUCUGAUGUGAAAACCCGGGGCUCAACCCCGGGACUGCAUUGGAAACUGUUCAUCUAGAGUGCUGGAGAGGUAAGUGGAAUUCCUAGUGUAGCGGUGAAAUGCGUAGAUAUUAGGAGGAACACCAGUGGCGAAGGCGGCUUACUGGACAGUAACUGACGUUGAGGCUCGAAAGCGUGGGGAGCAAACAGAAUUAGAUCCCCUGGUAGUCCUCGCCGUAAGCGACCAUAAAAGGUGUCGGGUGGCAAAACCAUUCUGUGCCGCAGCAAACACAAAUAAGUAGUCCACCUGGGGAGGUACGUUUGCAAGAAUGAAAAAUCAAAGGAAUUGACGGGGACCCGCACAAGCGGUGGAGCAUGUGGUUUUAAUUUGAAGCAACGCGAAGAACCUUACCUGCUCUUGACAUCCCGCUGACCGGACGGUAAUGCGUCCUUCCCUUCGGGGCAGCGGAGACAGGUGGUGCAUGGUUGUCGUCAGCUCGUGUCGUGAGAUGUUGGGUUAAGUCCCGCAACGAGCGCAACCCCUAUCUUUAGUAGCCAGCGGCCAGGCCGGGCACUCUAGAGAGACUGCCGGGGAUAACCCGGAGGAAGGUGGGGAUGACGUCAAAUCAUCAUGCCCCUUAUGAGCAGGGCUACACACGUGCUACAAUGGCGUAAACAAAGGGAAGCGAGACCGCGAGGUGGAGCAAAUCCCAAAAAUAACGUCUCAGUUCGGAUUGUAGUCUGCAACUCGACUACAUGAAGCUGGAAUCGCUAGUAAUCGCGAAUCAGAAUGUCGCGGUGAAUAAAAUCCCGGGUCUUGCACU